UACGAAGGGGGCUAGCGUUGCUCGGAAUCACUGGGCGUAAAGCGCACGUAGGCGGAUUGCUAAGUCAGGGGUGAAAUCCUGGAGCUCAACUCCAGAACUGCCUUUGAUACUGGCGAUCUCGAGUCCGGGAGAGGUGAGUGGAACUGCGAGUGUAGAGGUGAAAUUCGUAGAUAUUCGCAAGAACACCAGUGGCGAAGGCGGCUGACUGGCCCGGUACUGACGCUGAGGUGCGAAAGCGUGGGGAGCAAAC
rnacentral:rRNA from 1 species